rnacentral:rRNA from 1 species
GCCUAGCUUGCUAAGCUUGUUUUUAGUGGCGCACGGGUGAGUAACACGUGAGUUACCUGCCCCCAAGAGUGGGAUAGCCCCGGGAAACUGGGAUUAAUACCGCAUAAUAUCGCAAGAUUAAAGGUGCAAACCGCUUGGGGAUGGGCUCGCGGCCUAUUAGUUAGUUGGUGAGGUAACGGCUCACCAAGGCGAUGACGGGUAGCCGGUCUGAGAGGAUGUCCGGCCACACUGGAAUUGAGACACGGUCCAGACACCUACGGGUGGCAGCAGUCGAGAAUCAUUCACAAUGGGGGAAACCCUGAUGGUGCGACGCCGCGUGGGGGAGCGAAGGUCUUCGGAUUGUAAACCCCUGUCAAGUGGGAGCAAAUUAAAAAGAUAGUACCACUAGAGGAAGAGACGGCUAACUCUGUGCCAGCAGCCGCGGUAAUACAGAGGUCUCAAGCGUUGUUCGGAAUCACUGGGCGUAAAGCGUACGUAGGCGGCUUGGUAAGUCGUGUGUGAAAGGCAGGGGCUCAACCUCUGGACUGCACAUGAUACUGCCAGGCUAGAGUAAUGGAGGGGAAACCGGAAUUCUCGGUGUAGCAGUGAAAUGCGUAGAUAUCGAGAGGAACACUCGUGGC